AAAAGAAAGAAGGCCGAAGGGAAGAAGGUGGUGCUCACCCUUGCUGUCUUGAAAAAGCAGGAGACCAUGAAAGUGGUGAAUCUUCCAUUUGAGAAAUUUGGCACUGGACAGGACAUUUUGGCAUUGGACAGAACAUCCAGCCCAAAAGGGACCUCACUUACUUUGUCAAAUGGCCCCAUUAUACUAGGUUGCAGCAGCAGAGAGCCAUCCUCUAUAAACAGCUAGAAGUGCCUUCUGUGAUUAAUCAGUUCACCAGGGCCUUGGACCACCAAACAGCUGCUCAAUGGGGUAAGCGGGCUGGCAAGUACAGACCAGAGACAAAGCAAGAGAAACAGCAGAGACUGUUGGCCUGGGCUGAGAAGAAAGCAAAGGAGACAUCCCCACUAAGAGAUCACCUGUCCUUUUAAUGGGGGUUAACGCUGUCACCACCUUAGUGGAGAAAAAGAAGGCUCAGCUGGUGGUGACUGCACAGGACAGAGAUCCCAUUGAGUUGGUUGUCUUCCUGCCUGCCCUGUGUUGUAAACUGGGGGUUCCUUACUGCAUUAUC
rnacentral:lncRNA from 1 species